AUCGCGGCUAGGCUAACGCUAGCAACAGCGAACCCAGCGGGAGAAAAGCGGUUAAAAGAACCAGCGGCAGCUCGCUGGUCCGUUUAAAAACGCAACGCUCGUUAGCAGCGCGUCGCCCGCUUCAGGGGCCGCGGUUCGCCCAACGGGGGGGAAACGAGUGUCGGCAAAAAGAGAAGCGAAUGGAAGUCCGGGUCCCAGAUGCGUUCCCCUGCCCACCUCGUAACAUGGUCGCUCCCGGAUCCACAUACCACGGGAAGAGAGCAGGACGCGUCCCCGCGCUACCGGCCAGGCGGAGAAACCGUCCCGCGUCGACAUCCACGAUCCGCCUCCGCCAGAGAGCGAGGUGGUUCCCGGCUCGGGUUCCGCUGCCCGGGGAGUCCUGCGCGGCUCCGGGCGGCCGGUGAGUUGGAGAGUCGGUCGGAGAGCGUGCAUCCGACUCUUUCGGUUCUCUCGGCGCCUCAGAGAUUUUUGGGCUGCAAACGGGAGGAUGUGGAAGUUGGACGAGAGCAGCUGCAGCACGACCCCUUGAUCGCCCGGCCGGCUCCCUCUCUCUCUCUCUGAGGAGGAUGCGUGGCAUCAGCAGGUACGAUGGCAGCGGACGAAGUGGAGACACGUGGAGGAAGAACACAGGACCAGGAACAUCUGGAGGAGGAUUCCCAUGUCCCAAAUGUUAAGAUCUUCCAGUCUCGUGGGUCUGCAGACGUCUGCUGACACGGCCGUGUUCUAAAGAAACACCCGACUGGUUCCACAGGGAGACAUGAAGACGUAUCCGCUGCCUCCCACCUGAACUCCUCGUGGAGCUCCCACCAGUAGAACCCUUCCAAACGCCAUGGAGGACAGAGCGAGGCUCUUCAGGCUCCUGUCCUCCUCCCUCGCAGACAUCAUUCAGCCAACCACCUCCAGGGGAUCAACCAACACAUUUCUUCAGGAGCUGGAAAAUCUCCUCAAAACCCAAACUGAAAGCAAGCCCCGAGGGGGGGGGAGACAUCAGAUGAGAGGACGUCCUGUCCUCCACUCCGGAGCGCUCAUACACCCACGCUGGGUUCUGUCCCUCACCCGUCUCUGAGGGACCCGGUCAGGUUGUGUUGAGGGAGUUUACUGAAGAUAAACCCGUUUUCCCUCCGGGUCGAACACCUGAUGACGGAGGCGAUUGCAGCACCGACCUGAGCCGGGACGCCAGCACAGCGCCCCCCAGUGUGCAGGAGCAGAACCGCGGUGGAGGGCCGACACCCGGUUCGUCUCUCACGUCCUCCUCCUGGAUUCAAGGGCUGGAAUCGUUGUCUCAACGCGGCGCUCUCUGUUCUAACCGCCUCCUUAUUUUCAUACACGUACUGGAUAGUAGUAUUAGUACACAGUACUCAGAGGAGCAGUAUGAAGUAUUAUCACAUUGUUCUUCCUCCAUGACUCCCUGGACCCGUGUCAGCUCUGGAUGAGGAGCCCCGGGUGGGUGGAUGCUCCCUCUAUUGUGUGUGUGUGUGUGUGUGUGUGUGUGUGUGUGUGUGUGUGUGUGCGCUCGGCUGGGCGGAGCAGGAAGCUGGUUCGUAUUUAUAUCUGCAGCAGGACCUCGCUGUGACUCAGAGGCCUGCUGUGGUGACACUUCGUCCUCUGUUCCGUGUGCAGGCCGUUUGGAACCUACGUGAAAGUGUGCAGACGAUUUGGUUUUGUGUCAUUUGUUCUGUCUGUAAAUGACAUUUCAUUUCAGUUAUUGUGGAUUCUUGUUUUUGAUCUUGCUUCUGUUUGCAUUUUGACCUCUGCUGCUGUAAUCCUGUGACCUCAAAUGUUAACCCCCCGCCCCCCACAGGUCAGAGCAAUCUGUAACCAGAGGUCAGAGGUCAGAGUCCAGUGUUGGCUGACACGUUAAGGGGCCUUUUGGGAUAUUUAAUUCUACUUAAUAUUACAUCUGUGUCUCUGAUUCUUGCCCCAGGAAAAAAAGGUUCACAGCAGACUUUCCAUCUCUGUUAGUGAAGACUUGUUGAAACGGCACGAAGAAUCUUUUAGCACCUGACUGCAGAUCUGCUGCUUCCACGUUGUCGAGGCUCAUUUCUGAACCCCCCCCCCCAAAAAAAAACAAUUGCCCCGGUGCUUCGGGCGACUGGCCCCAGCCAGACAGAGAGCAGCAGGCAGCGGACUGAGGGAGGGCUGUAACGGAGUGUAACUCACAGGCCGAUGACGUGAGAAGGUUCUCUCCCCCCCCGGGUCGCCCGUCUCAUAACUCCCGCCCUCUCUGAUCCAGAUCCCCGCGGCCUCAUGCAAAGCAGGCCGGGAGGACGCCGCCAUGCUGGGAGCCACAGAGUGAAGACUCUGAGACACAAAAAAGAUCCCGAAAGCCGGGAAGGUUGAUGUCAUCGUUCGCUUUCAUCAGCCUCUGACGCCCAACAGACGAUUCAUCCAGCUCCUUUUUCCUGGUGAAAACAGUCAUAGAAGUGGGCUGAGAUCCAGUACGCAGGGCCCCGUCAAAAUAAAAGCCCCUGUAACAACGCUCUCUGAAUGGCCAUGUGGCAUGAAUGUUACUUACAGAAGUUUUAUUUUGAAAACCCAUGUACUGAGGUGAUGAUAAUGAUACUUACACAAACAGCUACACACACA
ensembl:lncRNA